GGAUCCUGAGUACCACAGAAGGAUGAAAUACUGCUCAGACGUGUGUUGUCACUGCCUGCUACUCAGGACAGAUAAAUCAUAGUCACUUGCUGAGCUAUCGUUGGGCACGUGGAGUUGGGGUCUCAGCUAUUUGUGAAGCAUUUUCAGCCCUUUAGAGCAUGCCCUGCUCUUCCCAUCCUACUCACAGCCAUACGACAUCAAGUGAGGCCAAGUAAUUUCCUUUUGCUAAGAUUAUUCAAAAUCAUGGAGUCCUCAUGUUCACCUAUCAAGAAUGACAGAAAAAAAUAUCAGCAAGAACUAGUUAAUCACUGAAGUUCUGAAAUUUCCAGACAACCUUUUUAAAAGACUUUGAUCUGAUGAUUCAGUCUUCUGUACGAUGAAGUGAUGGUUCUUCAGGAGGGUUAAAAUUCAUUUUUAAGACUCUUCUAAUAUCCAAGAGUCAUGUAAUGGCACAUGUCAAUCAGACAGCUGGAGGAAUAAUUAAUUAUUCACAGAGAUUGACUUUUUAACUGAAUGCGUUAUCUUUUGUGGAAGAGAGGAAUGGAAAGGGUUUCUAUCAGAUGGUAUAAUUUUUAAGUAGCUUUGUAGGUAUCUUUUUUAUUACAGAAUGACACAAUCAAAAUAGGUGUUAACAAUUACCUUCUCAUGUGAGACUGAGUCACAUAAAGUUAAAAGAAGUUAAUCUAAAAUACAUAGAGAUUGUGUUUUAAGUGAACAGUUGCCCACUGGAAAAAUCUCAACACUUAUUAAAUAAAAAGAAGUAUAGGAAGUAAGUGAUGACUUCA
rnacentral:lncRNA from 1 species